GGGAAAGUUGAAAAGAACUUUGAAGAGAGAGUUCAAAAGGGCGUGAAACCGCUUAGAAUAAAACGGACGGAGCCAUCUGAUGCUCUCGGGAAUCAGUCUAACGUUGCGCGGAAUUGCGUGAGUACCAGAGCGCAAAGUCUGGCUUGCGUAUUUGAAGCGUACGUGAGAUGCAUUUCUCAAGAGUUAGUACCACGACCGAUGCGAACGGCUAGCGGCUCUAGCGGAUUGAGGUCGAAACCACUCGUUGGUCUUUGUAACCAGUCCGUUAGUAUUCGUUAGAUCUUACGUAUUGGGGCCUAAUAAUUCAACGUCGGCGUAAACGCGCGCUAACGAUGGAAAUUCAACUCGCUAUUUGAGAACUGCACGCAGGGCUCGAGUACGCGCGGCUGUCUCUGAAGUCGUAUGCGACUACUGACGUUGUGGCGUCUGUGGUAUCCGAGUUGGUCACCCGUCCGACCCGUCUUGAAACACGGACCAAGGAGUCUAACGUACGCGCGAGCUAAUGGGUGGAAAACCUAUAAGCGCAAUAAAAGUAAAAGCCGUUUCGGACGGCCUAGGUACGAUCCUAGGAUAUUCCCAUAUUCUAGGCGCAGUACCGUCCCGUCUCAACCGCAUGUCGGUAGGGCGGAGAUAGAGUGCAUACGUUGGGACCCGAAAGAUGGUGAACUAUGCCUGAGCAGAGCGAAGCCAGAGGAAACUCUGGUGGAGGUUCGUAGCGGUUCUGACGUGCAAAUCGAUCGUCAGA
rnacentral:rRNA from 1 species